rnacentral:rRNA from 1 species
UACGAAGGGGGCGAGCGUUGUUCGGAAUUACUGGGCGUAAAGGGCGCGCAGGCGGUCCCUCAAGUCAGGCGUGAAAGCCCCGGGCUCAACCUGGGAAUUGCGCUUGAGACUGGGGGACUUGAGGACGGGAGAGGAGAGUGGAAUUCCCAGUGUAGAGGUGAAAUUCGUAGAUAUUGGGAAGAACACCAAUGGCGAAGGCAGCUCUCUGGACCGUUACUGACGCUGAGGCGCGAAAGCGUGGGGAGCAAACAGGAUUAGAAACCCCCGUAGUCC